rnacentral:lncRNA from 12 species
CAGUUAGAGAUGAAAGGCUGCAGAAAUGUUUAUUGGAUACAGUGCCAGGUUUAUAAAUAAAACUUAUUUACAAUUUCCAUAGAGUUGGUCCCCCAUCAGAGAGGUGGUUAAAUCUCCAAACAGUUUAUCUCAAGAUUUACAGAAACGUUCAAGUACAUCUCCUUUUUCGAAUCACCACGGUAAAGGGUAGCUUCUGCAUCGGAACUAGCGCCAUCCUUGCUACAGACGUGCUCAGGAACGUUAGGAGAGCUGGAGAAAGAACACACACUCCACCCAGGCCGCUACCUUCUUACUCCAAGGGAUACAGACAGCAAAGGGUUUCUGUCUCCUAUAGGACAACUUCAAGGGAUUGGGAAAAAGAAAGGAAAAUACUAACUGCCAGCUGUAGGGGAUAGGUUAGUAAGACACAUUCGUGGAAUCUUCGUCACUGCCAAAAAGGAUCAUGUGUUUCGGAUAUACAAUAAUUAAUUCAAAUGUUUAAAAUAAUUGAAUGAACAAAGAGCAGACUUUUGACCAAAUUUACAUUCUUGGUUUAGGAGGAAGUUCCCAGUAUGCUGAGGGGCUAAUCAUAUGCUGCUGCUCUUGACGGGCCGCAGCAGCACGUGGGAGGCCUACUGGACGGCCGCUCUCGUCACAACACAGGUUACAGGUACAGUCAGACAUGCAUUUUAUAAAGAGAAUAUAAAAAUAUGUACAGUAGCUAAUUUUCCAUGUGUUUAAGUUGCCGAAAGACACCAAUUAAAGUGUGCAAAAAUUCAUUUGUCUAAAAAUCAGAAAAAGCCUUCCUUGGCAACAGUGCGUCAAAAGCCCAUCUGAAACGUUGAGAUGCAUUUGCCUUGCUCAACACCUACCCCCAACAGAUGGAGAACAAAACUAUGAAAGUGUUUGCCAAGUACUCAGCAGUUUCUUAUGGCAAGUCUCAGGCUCAAGCGGGAUGCCAGGUAUGGACCCAACACCCAGCUCUGUCCUCUCACAAACUCAUGCAGUCUGCAAACACCCCACCUGGGCUGGUCUUCCCUGAAGCCAGAGGGAAAAGGCUGCAGAGGAUGGGGCUGCCCCUCUGCACCAAGCUGGGACUCGACACUCCCUGGGGGAAAGGCUUUGCUUCCCAUACAGGAUGCUGGCCACGGAAGAAUCUGGUUUCAAAAGCAGUCUUUUAGAAAAAGACUUGACGAAAGAGUUAAGACAGAAGGCAAAGUGUUAAAAACAAGUUCAAUUACCCCCAACCCUCUUUGA